rnacentral:lncRNA from 1 species
AAAUUAUCUUGCAUUAGACAUUACAAUUGAAAAUCAUAAGAUAACCUUAAUUGCUAUUUAUGGUCCAAAUAUGGACGAUCCAGGUUUUUAUGAAAAAAUAUCAGAUAUCAUUGAAGAUUUUGAGAAUCAAUAUUUUGUAAUCUGUGGUGAUUUUAAUCUUGUGCUUAAUCCUGAAAUAGAUUAUUACAAUUACUUACAUGUAAACAAUCCAAAAGCCAGGUUAAAAUUAUUGGAAAUUAUAGAUAAUCAAAGUAUGGUUGACCCAUACAGAGAACUAUAUCCAGAUAGAAGACGUUAUACUUGGAGAAAAAAGUCACCACUGAAACAGUCAAGGCUGGACUUCUUUCUCAUAUCUGAUGUGUUAUUACCUUCUUUAAAAGAUUCAUAUAUAGAAUCAAGCUAUCGAUCAGAUCACUCCAUCAUAGUUUUGCAUUUAGUAUUUAAUGAUUUCAAAAGGGGAAAAGGACUCUGGAAGUUUAAUAAUUCAUUGCUAUCUGACCAAGAAUAUUUAGACACAAUAAAUGUAAAAAUUGAAGAUAUAAAAAAUCAGUAUUCUGCAAUACCACUUUCAGAAAAGCAGAACAUUAUGAAUUCAGAUUUUUUGUUAAGUAUCGAUGAUCAAUUUUUUUUUGGAAACCUUGUUAAUGGAAAUAAGAGGUAAAACUAUAGCAUUUAGUAGCUACAAGAAAAGAAAAGAGAGGGACAAAGUAGAAAAUCUUACAAAAGAGAUUCAAAGGGCAGAAGAAAAUAUUAACAGCAAUACUGACUUUCAGAGUCUUGAGGGAAAAAAACAAGAGCUUAAAGACAUUAGAGGGAAAAAAUUAAGAGGGAGUGUACUAAGAUCCAAGGCAAUAUGGAUCUCAGAAGGUGAAAAACCUAGUAAAUAUUUUUGUAAUUUGGAAUCUAGAAAUUUUACGAAUAAAAUUAUCCCUAAAGUACAAAAAGAUGAUGGAGAAAUGAUUAAUAAUCAAAAAGAUAUUCUCAAAGAGGUUAAUUUUUUUUUAUCAAGAGUUGUACUCAAAAAAAAAUAUUGUUACAGAUAAGAUUAAGAAUUUUGAUACUGUUUUUGAUAAAUACAAUGUUAACAAAUUAACAAAUGAGGAGUCAGAUGAUCUAGAGGGUCCAAUCUGUCUACAUGAGGCAUCAAAUGUUUUAAAAGCAAUGAAAAAUGAUAAAAGUCCAGGAUCAUCAGGUUUUACAGCUGAAUUUUUCAAAGUUUUUUGGAGAAAAAUUGGUCCAUUUGUAGUAAGAUCCAUAAAUUAUGGUUUUGAAAAAGUGCAACUCUCUCUCUCUCUGUUACACAGAGACAAGGUAUAAUUACAUGUAUACCUAAAGGAGACAAACCACGACAGUUUCUUAAAAACUGGAGACCAAUUACUC